GAUACCCUGGUAGUCCACGCUGUAAACGAUGAAUACUAGGUGUGGGAGGACUGACCCCUUCCGUGCCGCAGUUAACACAAUAAGUAUUCCACCUGGGGAGUACGACCGCAAGGUUGAAACUCAAAGGAAUUGACGGGGGCCCGCACAAGCGGAGGAACAUGUGGUUUAAUUCGAUGAUACGCGAGGAACCUUACCCGGGCUCAAACGCGGCGUGAAUACUUUUGAAAGGAGGUAGUCAGCAAUGACACGCCGCGAGGUGCUGCAUGGUUGUCGUCAGCUCGUGUCGUGAGAUGUUGGGUUAAGUCCCGCAACGAGCGCAACCCUUAUCUUUAGUAGCCAGCAAGUAAUGUUGGGCACUCUAGAGAGACUGCCGGGGAUAACCCGGAGGAAGGUGGGGAUGACGUCAAAUCAUCAUGCCCCUUAUGAUCUGGGCUACACACGUGCUACAAUGGCGUAAACAGAGGGAAGCGAGCCCGCGAGGGGAGCGAAUCCCAAAAACAACGUCCCAGUUCGGAUUGUAGUCUGCAACCCGACUACAUGAAGCCGGAAUCGCUAGUAAUCGCGGAUCAGAAUGCCGCGGUGAAUACGUUCCCGGGUCUUGUACACACCGCCCGUCACACCAUGGGAGUCGGAAAUGCCCGAAGUCUGUGACCCAACCCCUGUAUGCAUGACCGUACAGACGUGAUGACAGAGCUUACGAAGGAAGGUCUGUCAUAUACGC
rnacentral:rRNA from 1 species